AGACAGAGCUCUCGAGGUUUAACAGAGAGAGUUCAGGAGGAGUAUGAUGAUGUGAUGAGUGUCAGUGAAGAUGUGAGAAACCUGUUGGAUUAUGAUGAUGUGGAGGAGGACUUAAACAAAG